AAUAGAUACCCGGGUAGUCCACGCCGUAAACGAUGAGUGCUAAGUGUUAGGGGGUUUCCGCCCCUUAGUGCUGCAGCUAACGCAUUAAGCACUCCGCCUGGGGAGUACGGUCGCAAGACUGAAACUCAAAGGAAUUGACGGGGGCCCGCACAAGCGGUGGAGCAUGUGGUUUAAUUCGAAGCAACGCGAAGAACCUUACCAAGUCUUGACAUCCCACUGACCGCUAUGGAGACAUAGUUUUCCCUUCGGGGACAGUGGUGACAGGUGGUGCAUGGUUGUCGUCAGCUCGUGUCGUGAGAUGUUGGGUUAAGUCCCGCAACGAGCGCAACCCUUGAUCUUAGUUGCCAUCAUUUAGUUGGGCACUCUAAGGUGACUGCCGGUGACAAACCGGAGGAAGGUGGGGAUGACGUCAAAUCAUCAUGCCCCUUAUGACCUGGGCUACACACGUGCUACAAUGGACGGUACAAACGGUUGCCAACCCGCGAGGGGGAGCUAAUCCGAUAAAAUCGUUCUCAGUUCGGAUUGUAGGCUGCAACUCGCCUAC
rnacentral:rRNA from 1 species